GUAGGUGAACCUGCGGAAGGAUCAUUCAUAAUAAGUGUUUUAUGGCACUUUUUAAAUCCAUAUCCACCUUGUGUGCAAUGUCAGUCGUUCUCUCUUUUGAGAGCGACCAAACAUCAACUUAUUCUUUAACUCUUUGUCUGAAAAAUAUUAUGAAUAAAAUAAUUCAAAAUACAACUUUCAACAACGGAUCUCUUGGCUCUC
rnacentral:misc_RNA from 1 species